GUGCUUGCUUCGGUAACACAUAUACUAAAAUUGGAAUGAUAUAGAGAAGAUUAGCAUGCCCCCUACACUACGAUGACGUGCAAAUUCGUGAAGUGUUCUGUUAAAAAUGUUU
ensembl:snRNA U6 U6 spliceosomal RNA